AUGACCUGUGGCUGGGGGUGAAAGGCCAAUCAAACCGGGAGAUAGCUGGUUCUCCCCGAAAGCUAUUUAGGUAGCGCCUCGUGAAUUCAUCUCCGGGGGUAGAGCACUGUUUCGGCUAGGGGGCCAUCCCGGCUUACCAACCCGAUGCAAACUGCGAAUACCGGAGAAUGUUAUCACGGGAGACACACGGCGGGUGCUAACGUCCGUCGUGAAGAGGGAAACAACCCAGACCGCCAGCUAAGGUCCCAAAGUCAUGGUUAAGUGGGAAACGAUGUGGGAAGGCCCAGACAGCCAGGAUGUUGGCUUAGAAGCAGCCAUCAUUUAAAGAAAGCGUAAUAGCUCACUGGUCGAGUCGGCCUGCGCGGAAGAUGUAACGGGGCUAAACCAUGCACCGAAGCUGCGGCAGCGACACUGUGUGUUGUUGGGUAGGGGAGCGUUCUGUAAGCCUGUGAAGGUGUGUCGUGAGGCAUGCUGGAGGUAUCAGAAGUGCGAAUGCUGACAUAAGUAACGAUAAAGCGGGUGAAAAGCCCGCUCGCCGGAAGACCAAGGGUUCCUGUCCAACGUUAAUCGGGGCAGGGUGAGUCGACCCCUAAGGCGAGGCCGAAAGGCGUAGUCGAUGGGAAACGGGUUAAUAUUCCCGUACUUGGUGUUACUGCGAAGGGGGGACGGAGAAGGCUAUGUUGGCCGGGCGACGGUUGUCCCGGUUUAAGCGUGUAGGUGUGUGUUCCAGGUAAAUCCGGUUCACUUUAACACUGAGGCGUGACGACGAGGCACUACGGUGCUGAAGCAACAAAUGCCCUGCUUCCAGGAAAAGCCUCUAAGCAUCAGGUAACAUCAAAUCGUACCCCAAACCGACACAGGUGGUCAGGUAGAGAAUACCAAGGCGCUUGAGAGAACUCGGGUGAAGGAACUAGGCAAAAUGGUGCCGUAACUUCGGGAGAAGGCACGCUGACACGUAGGUGAAGUGAUUUACUCAUGGAGCUGAAGUCAGUCGAAGAUACCAGCUGGCUGCAACUGUUUAUUAAAAACACAGCACUGUGCAAACACGAAAGUGGACGUAUACGGUGUGACGCCUGCCCGGUGCCGGAAGGUUAAUUGAUGGGGUCAGCGCAAGCGAAGCUCCUGAUCGAAGCCCCGGUAAACGGCGGCCGUAACUAUAACGGUCCUAAGGUAGCGAAAUUCCUUGUCGGGUAAGUUCCGACCUGCACGAAUGGCGUAAUGAUGGCCAGGCUGUCUCCACCCGAGACUCAGUGAAAUUGAACUCGCUGUGAAGAUGCAGUGUACCCGCGGCAAGACGGAAAGACCCCGUGAACCUUUACUAUAGCUUGACACUGAACAUUGAGCCUUGAUGUGUAG
rnacentral:rRNA from 1 species